CAAGAUGCCUAGAUUUUGUUAAGAACUCCGAGAUAACUAUUCCGCUGCUCUUGAGCUCGGUCUUAGUAUCCCAGACUGCACGGCGUUGGACAAAAUCUUUGAAUCGCACCAAGACUGUACGGGCUUUCACCUUAGGAGAACCGAGGCGGUGACAAGACUGGAUAUCAUCAGAGUAAUCCCAUGGAACAAUAAUAUCUUUCUACGGAGGAAAGUCUCGUGCCGGUCAAGUCCCAGAGUGAGAAGAUCGAUUUGUGUUUUGAAUUUGGAGAGUGUUUGCCAAACAAAGUUUUUAAAAUCAUGGAACUCACUGCUCAAACUGGACAAAUCUGGAUGGGAUGGUGUAGAAGCUGCUUGGUGGAGUCGCUGCUCAUAAGAAUCCAUGCGCGUUUGGAACAGUUUAGCCAGGUCUUCCAUGUUGGCAGCCAGUUGUGUUGACAAAUCCAUUGUAGUUAGUACUUGUUAAAUGAGAGUGAUGAAAAAAAAUUGAACUGGUGCAAAAUUUAUAGUGAGGUGAGCACAGGAGGGUUUAAGCUAUUACCUAAUGUAAUACAUUAACUGUUUUAAGCAC